rnacentral:rRNA from 1 species
UACAGAGGUCCCAAGCGUUGUUCGGAUUCACUGGGCGUAAAGGGUGCGUAGGCGGUCGGGUAAGUCUGACGUGAAAUCUUCAAGCUCAACUUGGAAACUGCGUCGGAUACUAUUCGGCUAGAGUCCGGAAGAGGAGAGUGGAAUUCCUGGUGUAGCGGUGAAAUGCGCAGAUAUCAGGAAGAACACCUAUGGCGAAAGCAGCUCUCUGGGACAGUACUGACGCUGAGACGCGAAAGCGUGGGGAGCGAACAGG